UUAUGUGUUACCUUCCAGACCCUGCAGAUGGAGAAGGCCCAGAGACACUGAGCUCAGCACUCUCUAAAGGAGCAACAGUUUACAGCCCUUCCAGAUACAGCUACCAGCUCCUGCAGUGUGAUAGUCCUCGGACAGAAUCACAAAGCCUCCUUCAGCAGAGUUCCUCCCCCUUCAGAGGACAUCCUACACAAUCUCCAGGAUACAGUUAUCGAACUACUGCACUGAGACCUGGAAACCCCCCCUCUCACGGUUCUUCAGAAUCAUCCCUCUCUUCCACAUCCUAU
rnacentral:sRNA from 1 species